rnacentral:rRNA from 1 species
AGAUUAAGUUAUUAAGGGCGCACGGUGGAUGCCUUGGCACUAGAAGCCGAUGAAGGACGUUACUAACGACGAUAUGCUUUGGGUAGCUGUAAGUAAGCGUUGAUCCAGAGAUUUCCGAAUGGGGGAACCCAGCAUGAGUUAUGUCAUGUUAUCGACAUGUGAAUUCAUAGCAUGUCAGAAGGCAGACCCGGAGAACUGAAACAUCUUAGUACCCGGAGGAAGAGAAAGAAAAAUCGAUUCCCUGAGUAGCGGCGAGCGAAACGGGAAGAGCCCAAACCAACAAGCUUGCUUGUUGGGGUUGUAGGACACUCUAUACGGAGUUACAAAAGAACAUGUUAGACGAAUCAUCUGGAAAGAUGAAUCAAAGAAGGUAAUAAUCCUGUAGUCGAAAACAUAUUCUCUCUUGAGUGGAUCCUGAGUACGACGGAGCACGUGAAAUUCCGUCGGAAUCUGGGAGGACCAUCUCCUAAGGCUAAAUACUCUCUAGUGACCGAUAGUGAACCAGUACCGUGAGGGAAAGGUGAAAAGUACCCCGGAAGGGGAGUGAAAGAGAACUUGAAACCGUGUGCUUACAAGUAGUCAGAGCCCGUUAAUGGGUGAUGGCGUGCCUUUUGUAGAAUGAACCGGCGAGUUACGAUCUGAUGCAAGGUUAAGCAGCAAAUGUGGAGCCGCAGCGAAAGCGAGUCUGAAUAGGGCGUUGAGUAUUUGGUCGUAGACCCGAAACCAGGUGAUCUACCCUUGGUCAGGUUGAAGUUCAGGUAACACUGAAUGGAGGACCGAACCGACUUACGUUGAAAAGUGAGCGGAUGAACUGAGGGUAGCGGAGAAAUUCCAAUCGAACUUGGAGAUAGCUGGUUCUCUCCGAAAUAGCUUUAGGGCUAGCCUCAAGUGAUGAUUAUUGGAGGUAGAGCACUGUUUGGACGAGGGGCCCCUCUCGGGUUACCGAAUUCAGACAAACUCCGAAUGCCAAUUAAUUUAACUUGGGAGUCAGAACAUGGGUGAUAAGGUCCGUGUUCGAAAGGGAAACAGCCCAGACCACCAGCUAAGGUCCCAAAAUAUAUGUUAAGUGGAAAAGGAUGUGGCGUUGCCCAGACAACUAGGAUGUUGGCUUAGAAGCAGCCAUCAUUUAAAGAGUGCGUAAUAGCUCACUAGUCGAGUGACACUGCGCCGAAAAUGUACCGGGGCUAAACAUAUUACCGAAGCUGUGGAUUGUCCUUUGGACAAUGGUAGGAGAGCGUUCUAAGGGCGUCGAAGCAUGAUCGCAAGGACAUGUGGAGCGCUUAGAAGUGAGAAUGCCGGUGUGAGUAGCGAAAGACGGGUGAGAAUCCCGUCCACCGAUUGACUAAGGUUUCCAGAGGAAGGCUCGUCCGCUCUGGGUUAGUCGGGUCCUAAGCUGAGGCCGACAGGCGUAGGCGAUGGAUAACAGGUUGAUAUUCCUGUACCACCUAGUAUCGUUUUAAUUGAUGGGGGGACGCAGUAGGAUAGGCGAAGCGUGCUGUUGGAGUGCACGUCCAAGCAGUAAGGUUGAGUGUUAGGCAAAUCCGGCACUCAUAAGGCUGAGCUGUGAUGGGGAGAGGAAAUUGUUUCCUCGAGUCGUUGAUUUCACACUGCCGAGAAAAGCCUCUAGAUAGAUAACAGGUGCCCGUACCGCAAACCGACACAGGUAGUCAAGAUGAGAAUUCUAAGGUGAGCGAGCGAACUCUCGUUAAGGAACUCGGCAAAAUGACCCCGUAACUUCGGGAGAAGGGGUGCUCUUUAGGGUUCACGCCCAGAAGAGCCGCAGUGAAUAGGCCCAAGCGACUGUUUAUCAAAAACACAGGUCUCUGCUAAACCGUAAGGUGAUGUAUAGGGGCUGACGCCUGCCCGGUGCUGGAAGGUUAAGAGGAGUGGUUAGCUUCUGCGAAGCUACGAAUCGAAGCCCCAGUAAACGGCGGCCGUAACUAUAACGGUCCUAAGGUAGCGAAAUUCCUUGUCGGGUAAGUUCCGACCCGCACGAAAGGCGUAACGAUUUGGGCACUGUCUCAACGAGAGACUCGGUGAAAUCAUAGUACCUGUGAAGAUGCAGGUUACCCGCGACAGGACGGAAAGACCCCGUGGAGCUUUACUGUAGCCUGAUAUUGAAAUUCGGCACAGCUUGUACAGGAUAGGUAGGAGCCUUUGAAACGUGAGCGCUAGCUUACGUGGAGGCGUUGGUGGGAUACUACCCUAGCUGUGUUGGCUUUCUAACCCGCACCACUUAUCGUGGUGGGAGACAGUGUCAGGCGGGCAGUUUGACUGGGGCGGUCGCCUCCUAAAAGGUAACGGAGGCGCUCAAAGGUUCCCUCAGAAUGGUUGGAAAUCAUUCAUAGAGUGUAAAGGCAUAAGGGAGCUUGACUGCGAGACCUACAAGUCGAGCAGGGUCGAAAGACGGACUUAGUGAUCCGGUGGUUCCGCAUGGAAGGGCCAUCGCUCAACGGAUAAAAGCUACCCCGGGGAUAACAGGCUUAUCUCCCCCAAGAGUUCACAUCGACGGGGAGGUUUGGCACCUCGAUGUCGGCUCAUCGCAUCCUGGGGCUGUAGUCGGUCCCAAGGGUUGGGCUGUUCGCCCAUUAAAGCGGUACGCGAGCUGGGUUCAGAACGUCGUGAGACAGUUCGGUCCCUAUCCGUCGUGGGCGUAGGAAAUUUGAGAGGAGCUGUCCUUAGUACGAGAGGACCGGGAUGGACAUACCUCUGGUGUACCAGUUGUCGUGCCAACGGCAUAGCUGGGUAGCUAUGUAUGGACGGGAUAAGUGCUGAAAGCAUCUAAGCAUGAAGCCCCCCUCAAGAUGAGAUUUCCCAACUUCGGUUAUAAGAUCCCUCGAAGAUGACGAGGUUAAUAGGUUCGAGGUGGAAGCGUGGUGACACGUGGAGCUGACGAAUACUAAUCGAUCGAAGACUUAAUCAAUUUUUUAAA